rnacentral:rRNA from 1 species
GACGAACGCUGGCGGCGUGCUUAACACAUGCAAGUCGAACGGAAAGGCCCUGCUUUUGUGGGGUGCUCGAGUGGCGAACGGGUGAGUAACACGUGAGUAACCUGCCCUUGACUUUGGGAUAACUUCAGGAAACUGGGGCUAAUACCGGAUAGGAGCUCCUGCUGCAUGGUGGGGGUUGGAAAGUUUCGGCGGUUGGGGAUGGACUCGCGGCUUAUCAGCUUGUUGGUGGGGUAGUGGCUGACCAAGGCUUUGACGGGUAGCCGGCCUGAGAGGGUGACCGGCCACAUUGGGACUGAGAUACGGCCCAGACGCCUACGGGAGGCAGCAGUGGGGAAUAUUGCACAAUGGGCGGAAGCCUGAUGCAGCAACGCCGCGUGCGGGAUGACGGCCUUCGGGUUGUAAACCGCUUUCGCCUGUGACGAAGCGUGAGUGACGGUAAUGGGUAAAGAAGCACCGGCUAACUACGUG